GUAGAUACAUACAUAAAUGCAACGCCAUGCGCUUGCGCCUGCUUAUCGUUCCGUAUUCAAUCUGCGACUGAACUGAGUGUGUGAGAGGAAGACGGAGAAAAUAUUUGAGAAGCCAAGUUAUUUUUACAACCAUUGAUUUACAAUCGCCAAGGCCGAAGCUUACUUUGCAAAUUUUAAUCAUUUGAAUAACAGUUGAGAUGUGGAAAAGUAAACAAACUCAAGAAGAAAGAAGAUUAAUUUUAAAUGAAUAUAUUAUUUCAACCUUUUGAAUGAAUGGCUAUUUAAUCUUUCAACUUUAACUAUACAUUUUCCAUUCACAUAACUAAAGCGCUUGUGGAAAACUGAUCUACGCAUGGAUAGAGACAGUCCGCACUUAUGAUAAGAAUGGCGGUAGUCAAAAAGUGCCUAAAGUAACUUAUUGCUGAAUCAUUUAAA